UUAACCCGUUAUUGGCUGCUACCAUUGAAUCCCUCCAUUUGUCAACAACAAAAAAAAGAGGUUAAAUAUUGUGAUCAUGCUAUCAUCAUUAUGUUGCCUAUAAGACCAAAUGUGGGGCAUCUGGUUAUCCCUCCAAAAUAAGGCAAUGACCACACGUUGAACGCGGAUCAUUCGUUUCGUCAUCAAACUUGACUCAUUCCAUCUUCUGGAUUGCUUAGGAAUGCUGAUUGGUGUUACCUGUCAUUUAGGUAAUGACCGAGAAGAUGCGGCCUACAUGAACAUCCGGGGCCAAACUCGAUAGCUUGAGCAGCCCCUCAAAUACAGAAAAAAAGAAAAAAAAAAGAACAUCAUUUAGGCGGCCAGCAUCAUUCGACUACCCAAUCGGCUUCUAGCCUUCUACUACCCUGCUCUCAACAUAGCACCACAGACUAAGAGGGUAAAGACUACGAUCGGGGAUAGGGCUAAGAGGAAUGCUUGAAGCGAUGCUCGUCCUAUGCCGUAUGGUGGCGCGUCGAGCACACUCUACCAAAGCCAUUAUUUUUCCUUUUUCCCUACUGAUAUGAGUCUUCACACACCGUAAAUUUGUAAGUGAACCAUUAACAUUUCAAUAGUGAAUUUUUGUGUAAAUAUAGCUUAGAUAUCCACCAUGUUGUGUGAAUUUUUUUAAAUUUCUAUGUGAUCUCUAGACACAAUCUAUAAAUUCCUUUAUUAAACCCCCUUUUUGCCCAUUUUCAAGCCCAGGAAACAGCGUUUCAAGAUUUUCUGAAAUGGGCCUGAAAAUCGUGAAACGCUGUUUCCUGGCCCUGAAAAUGGGCAAAAAGGGGGUUUAAUAAAGGAAUUUAUAGAUUGUGUCUAGAGAUCACAUAGAAAUUUGAAAAAAUUCACACAACAUGGGGGAUAUCUAAGCUAUAUUUACACAAAAAUUCACUAUUGAAAUGUUAAUGGUUCACUUACAAAUUUACGGUGUGUGAAGACUCAUAUCAGUAGGGAAAAAGGAAAAAUAAUGGCUUUGGUAGAGUGUGCUCGACGCGCCACCAUACGGCAUAGGACGCGCAUCGCUUCAAGGGGUUUAUAGCCGUUCGUAGUCUUUACCCUCUUAGUCUGUGAUAGCACGGAGUUUCACCCUUUAGAUUUUUGGCUGCUGUUCGCGAUGUCUGAUGGCGUUUCCUUGGACGAGAUGAUGAUUUUGGCGAGAAAAAUAUUGCGAACCUUCAGGUUCCUAAAUUUGCAUGACAGACU